rnacentral:rRNA from 1 species
GCGCGAAACCUUUACAAUGCACGAAAGUGUGAUAGGGGGAUCCUUAGUGCUUACACUUUGUGUAGGCUUUUGCCAAGAGUAAAUAUCUUGGCGAAUAAGUGGUGGGUAAGACUGGUGCCAGCAGCCGCGGUAACCCCAGCGCCACAAGUGGGAAUCGAUUUUAUUGGGCCUAAAGCGUCCGUAGCCGGUUUAAUAAAUCUUUGGUGAAAUCGUCUCGCUAAACGAGAUGGCGUGCUAGAGAGACUGUUAAACUUGGAACCGGGAGGAGUUAGGAGUAUGCUUGGGGGAGCGGUAAAAUGCAAUAAUCCCAAGUAGACUACCAGUGGCGGAGGCGCCUAACUAGAACGGAUUCGACGGUGAGGGACGAAAGCUAGGGGAGCGAACCGG